rnacentral:rRNA from 1 species
UACGAAGGGUGCAAGCGUUACUCGGAAUUACUGGGCGUAAAGCGUGCGUAGGUGGUUUGUUAAGUCUGAUGUGAAAGCCCUGGGCUCAACCUGGGAACGGCAUUGGAAACUGGCUUACUAGAGUGCGGUAGAGGGGUGUGGAAUUCCCGGUGUAGCAGCGAAAUGCGUAGAUAUCGGGAGGAACACCGGUGGCGAAGGCGGCCCCCUGGUUGGAUACUGACGCUGAUACGCGAAAGCGUGGGGAGCAAACAGG